rnacentral:misc_RNA from 1 species
UACGUAGGUGGCAAGCGUUAUCCGGAAUUAUUGGGCGUAAAGCGCUCGCAGGCGGUCCUUUAAGUCGGAUGUGAAAUCCCGGGGCUCAACCUCGAAAGGUCAUUGGAAACUGGGGGACUUGAGUACAGAAGAGGAGGGUGGAAUUUCGCGUGUAGCGGUGAAAUGCGUAGAGAUGUGGAGGAACACCAGUGGCGAAGGCGACUCUCUGGUCUGUAACUGACGCUGAGGAGCGAAAGCGUGGGGAGCGAACAGG